CUCAUUAUGUGUAAAUAACACACACAGAUCGUCACAUACACCGGGGUGCUCUAAUGUGGUUAAUUCAUUGAUAUGAAUCACCCGCAGUCAAAGAGUCGGUGUCAUGGGAUCUGUGGAGGCAUAAC
rnacentral:sRNA from 1 species